AGGUAUAUAUAUAUUACUAUUUAAUACAUGUAUCUUAAGGAAUAUUUUCAUCGACUGUGCUGCAGUUUUUUUCCGUAUAAAGAAGGGUCAGAAUGUGUCCCUUCAAGUUUUUUUUUUUUUUUUCCCUUCAAAAAAGAAGCUAAAAGGGUCAUGAUUGGUAGUUAAUGGAGGUGUUUGUCUGGUAGUAAAUGUUAAUCUAAAUCAUUAGUAUAAUUAUUGCUAUCAGAAUUGUUAGUUGCUAACGUGUCACCUUGUGACUCAAAAAUACAAGUAAUCGCGUGGCCUGAAGGGGCGUGAUGAGGUAUAAUACUAACACACCUUGAUAUUUACCGCAAAAAAAAAAUUAUUGAUACAGGAAGGUGAUGAAAGAAUUUGCAUUGAAGUUGGAGAAACUGGCAGAGGAGCUCCUGGACUUGUUAUGUGAGAAUCUUGGACUUGAAAAGGGGUACCUCAAAAGGGCUUUCUAUGGAUCAAACGGUAGUCCAACCUUUGGCACCAAGGUCAGCAAUUAUCCACCAUGCCCCAAACCAGACCUGGUGAAGGGUCUCAGGGCCCACACCGACGCUGGUGGCAUCAUCUUGCUAUUCCAGGAUGACAAAGUCAGCGGCCUCCAGCUUCUCAAGGAUGGCCAGUGGAUUGAUGUGCCCCCGAUGCGCCACUCCAUUGUUGUCAACCUUGGUGACCAACUCGAGGUAUAUACCCUAUACUCUGCCUAAACUACUGUAACCUAGCUAGAAUCAAAUCUAGCUUACAUUUUCUAGCCAUACUAAAUUCUCUGGAUAUGUAGGUAAUCAC
rnacentral:lncRNA from 1 species